rnacentral:snoRNA from 7 species
UGUUGAAGGGAUGAUAAGCCUUGCAGCAACUCGAGUGUUAACAAAAAAUUUAGCCUACAAUUAUCUGAUCAACU